rnacentral:rRNA from 1 species
GACGAACGCUGGCGGCGUGCCUAAUACAUGCAAGUUGAGCGAUGAAGAUUGGUGCUUGCACCAAUUUGAAGAGCAGCGAACGGGUGAGUAACGCGUGGGGAAUCUGCCUUUGAGCGGGGGACAACAUUUGGAAACGAAUGCUAAUACCGCAUAACAACUUUAAACAUAAGUUUUAAGUUUGAAAGAUGCAAUUGCAUCACUCAAAGAUGAUCCCGCGUUGUAUUAGCUAGUUGGUGAGGUAAAGGCUCACCAAGGCGAUGAUACAUAGCCGACCUGAGAGGGGGAUCGGCCAAAUUGGGACUGGGACACGGCCCAAACUCCUACGGGAGGCAGCAGUAGGGAAUCUUCGGCAAUGGACGAAAGUCUGACCGAGCAACGCCGCGUGAGUGAAGAAGGUUUUCGGAUCGUAAAACUCUGUUGGUAGAGAAGAACGUUGGUGAGAGUGAAAAGAUCAUCAAGUGACGGUAACUACCCAGAAAGCGACGGCUAACUACGUG